CCUGUCCAUCUGCCCUUGCCAGAGCCACUCCACUCACCAUGUCCAGCUGGCUGGAGAAGGGCAUGAGCUUGGGUGGAGUAGACGGGUCAAAGUCCACCCCGGCCGGGCCCCCCUACGUCCCCACUGGACAGUGCCGUGUAGUCCGGGCGGUGGGAGCCCCGGCCCUUCUGGCUGACCUUGAUGUAGAAGAAGUCUUCGCUCUUGCCCAUUUUGGAGCUGGACUUGCCAUGACCAGAGUCCUGGGAGAAGCCGAACCUCAGCAGCCCAUCCGAAUAGCGGUUGAGCUUCUUGAGGUGGGAGGGCUUGCGCAGCUUGUACUGCGAGGCCCGGCAGUGUUUGCUGUGGAAGCCGUGGCCGGAGAUGAGGCUGCUGACACUGCCCAUGGUGACAACAACACAGGGACCAAGAGGCGGGGGCCGGGGGUGGCUGUGGCAGCGAGGGGCAGACCUGGCUUUCCAAGGAGACUGUGGUCAUAGCAAAUCCCUCACAGAGCUCAGACAGCCAUGGACCUGGAAGGAGACAGAAGACAGAAGUCAGCCCGGGCAGAGCAGGCUCUGCAAGGUCCACACAGUGACUUCCGGAGUGUCACUGAGUGCUGGGGCCGGACUCGCUCAUCCAGAGCCAGCUCUGUCAGUGCUGCCCAGCCCCCCACUCAUUCUCCACCACCAAGUGGCUGCCUGGGAACAGGCACCAUUCCAUGCCCUGGAGAUCCGAGACCUGCACAUCCACACAUCAGCGUGGCCUGUACCAGACGCUACGGAGCAUGGUGGGUAGGAGAGGAAUCUGCAAAGGGCCUUGUUUGGUGCAGCAAGUGCUGUGCUUUGGGUGCGUCCCUGGAAUUUCAUUCUCAAAGUCAUUAUGUUGGUGGUAUUUGGAGGGGAAGCAUUAGAAGUUAAUUAGGAUUAGGUGAGGCCAUGAGGGAAGGGUCAGCUUUAUAAGAAGAGGAAGAUCACCAAGUAAUGCCCUCCACCACCUCUGGAGGCUACAGAGUCUCCACCGACAAGAAAGACAUCACCAGAGGUGGGUGCCCGAUCUUAAAAGUCCCAGCCUUCAGAGUCACGAGCCCAACCUAACUGUCUUGUUUAUAAAUUAUGUAGCCUGGGGUAUCCUGUUAGAGCAACAGAAAACAGACUCAGAAAGGAGUAGCAGGGUGGCUUCUGAAGAGAUCAAGAAAAUGAGAGGGGAAAAAAAAGGCAAGCCAUGUGGGAAUCCGGGAGAUAGAGCUCACCAGAAGCUCGAGUCCCCGAACCCUGAGUCCCUGAGGUGGAGCAUGCUGGGCUAUGUGACAGCAGCCCGGGGACCAGCAGGGGUGGAGAAGGUUAGCAAGGCAGGUGGAGAAGCAGCAGUCAGGAAGGCAGCAUGGGCCUGGGUGGCAACAAGGGCUUUGGCUCCACUAUGGCGGACAGGAAGAGUCCAACUGGCCCUAAGCAGCUGAGAAUCCCAUCAGAUUCUCAGGGGGCAGGGACACUGGGGCAGUGUUCUCCCGCUGCAGGGUGAGGAGGAGGCUGCUGAGGGGCUGGGGUGGAACUGGUGGGGCAGCUAAGUAAGUAACUCAUAUACCUCCUUGCUUGGCAAGGCUGGUAGGUGUGGGUUAAAUUUUAGAUGCAAUUUGAAGGCUGAGCUGUAGGAUUUGCUAAAGGAUUGGAUGUAAGGCAGUAGAAGAAAGAAGUUAAGAAUGUCUCAGAAAGGAGAAAAAUUAAAGUAAAAAGAAAAGCAAAAAAGACUAAUGUUUUAAUGCCAGCAAUGAGAAGCAGAAAUGUGCCAUUUUACUGAAUGGCCACAAAUGGAGCUGGUGUAGGAGCGAAGCAGGUUGGAGAGUGAGGGGUGGCUGGGACUGACUGAAGACAUCAAGUUUGCAAAGCCUGCUGGGUAUCCAAGGCGUGACGGGGAGUAGGCAGUAGCGAGCAGGGGAGGCGCUGGGGCUGCAGAUCUACAAGUGAAGGAUGCCAGUCUCCAGAAGCCAGCUGGGAGACCACACACUGUCACUGAGAAACAAGUGCAGAAAGACAGGAGAAGCUGGAGCACCGGCUGAGGAGCAACCCCAGGCGGUGAGAAAGGUGCUACACAAUCCAGAGAGCCAUCCAGCUGGGAAAGACCUUGCCUUGGAGGCAGGCGGC
rnacentral:lncRNA from 1 species